UACGGAGUGUGCAAGCGUUAUUCGGAAUCACUGGGCUUAAAGAGUCCGUAGGCGGCUUGUUAGGUGAGGUGUGAAAUCCCUCGGCCCAACCGAGGAAUUGCGCUUGAAACCGGCAAGCUAGAGGAGGAUAGAGGUGGGCGGAACUGAUGGUGGAGCGGUGAAAUGCGUUGAUAUCAGCAGGAACAUCGGAGGCGAAGGCGGUCCACUGGGUCGUUUCUGACGCUGAGGGACGAAAGCUAGGGGAGCGAACGGG
rnacentral:rRNA from 1 species